rnacentral:rRNA from 1 species
AUGCUUGGCCCAGAGUCUCGUGCUGUCGGAGUACAACCACCUCGGACACAUGCCGAGGGGCAUCAUCAAGUCUUGUUCAAGGGAAAGUGUGUUGCGGGAGUUGGGAAGACGACCCUGGCUCAACUUGUAUACAAUGAUCCAGAUUUGGAAACUCAAUUUGACCUCCGAAUGUGGAUCUGGGUGUCCAGCAGCUUCGAUGAAACCAGAGUCACAAGAGAGAUGUUAGAUUUUGUAUCCCAUGGAAGACAUGAAAGGCAAUACAAGCUUCAGGAAGUCUUGAAGGAUCAUGUUAAAUCAAAGAGAGUUCUGCUUAUUUUGGAUGAUAUUUGGGAUGACAUAACUGAUUGCCAAUGGAACAAUCUAUUAGCACCUUUUAAGCCUAACAAUGCAAAGGGCAGCGGGAUACUCUUGACAACGAGAAUACCAUCUGUUGCCAAAAAGAGAGGUACAACUGGACCGAUUAACUUAGAUGAUUUGAAAAAUGGUGAUUUCUGGCUAAUGUUCAAAGUGUGUGCAUUUGGUGAUGAGAACUAUGAAGAGCAAGUUAGCCUGGGCGAGCUUGGACGGCAGAUAGCAAAAAGGUUACAGGGAAACCCAUUAGCUGCAGAAACUGCAGGGACACUGUUAAGAGAGCAUCUUACCAUUGAUCAUUGGAAUAAUAUUCUGAAGAACGAAGAUUGGAAAUCUCUACAACUCAGUAGUGGCAUCAUGUCUGCUUUGAAGCUUUGCUAUGAUCAGCUGCCCUACAAUUUACAGCAAUGCUUCUCUUAUUGCUCCAUAUUCCCCUACAGUUAUCAUUUUCUUGCUGAGGAGCUGGUACGUAUGUGGAUUUCACAGGGAUUUGUGAAGUGUAACCAUCCAAAUAUGAUACAGGAAGAAGGGCGGCGCUAUCUGUGUGACUUGGUGAACCUGGGUUUCUUCGAGCAAGUCGAUAGAAAAGAACUCCCUUCUGGCCAUACUCAAACUUACUUUGCUAUGUGUGGUCUUAUGCAUGAUUUGGCUAGGGUAGUUUCAGAAACAGAGUGUGCAGCUAUGGAUGGUCUGCAGUACAAUGAAAUAUUGCCAACCAUACAUCAUUUGUCUAUAGUAACGGAUGGUCAGACUGGGAACAUACCUGGUAGUGAAAAGUUUGAAGAAAAAAUACAGAGCAUAUUUACAUCAGUGGCAAAACUAAGGACAUUUGUGUUGAUUGGGUAG